GACGAACGCUGGCGGCGUGCUUAACACAUGCAAGUCGAACGGAAAGGCCUCUUUCGGGGGGUACUCGAGUGGCGAACGGGUGAGUAACACGUGAGUAACCUGCCCUUGACUUUGGGAUAACUUCAGGAAACUGGGGCUAAUACCGGAUAGGAGCUCCUGCUGCAUGGUGGGGGUUGGAAAGUUUCGGCGGUUGGGGAUGGACUCGCGGCUUAUCAGCUUGUUGGUGGGGUAGUGGCUUACCAAGGCUUUGACGGGUAGCCGGCCUGAGAGGGUGACCGGCCACAUUGGGACUGAGAUACGGCCCAGACUCCUACGGGAGGCAGCAGUGGGGAAUAUUGCACAAUGGGUGGAAACCUGAUGCAGCAACGCCGUGUGCGGGAUGACGGCCUUCGGGUUGUAAACCGCUUUCGCUCAUGACGAAGCUUUGUGUGACGGUAGUGGGUAAAGAAGCACCGGCUAACUACGUG
rnacentral:rRNA from 1 species